GGGGGUGUCACGGCUUCGACGUGGGUCAUGAAACCGGAGGUGCAUGCCGAGGCGCAGAUCACCUCGUAAAUACAACUGCAAACAUAAUUAGUUGCCAACGAAGACAACUACGCACUCGCUGCUUAAAACUCAGUAGAGUGCCGUCUGACUGGAGCCGUGCUUAUGCGUUCAGGUUUCAGACGUCAUAUCUCAUAAGAUCGCAGUGAAGCUUGUUUGGGGCCGACCUGUUAAAACACACCAAAAUCGCUUCAUGUUUUCCCUGCCGGUCGGGUAGCACGAAGUUAAAUUAAUAGACUCGGAUAAGCAUGUAGAACCAAAGAUGUAAGGCUUGCGGACGCGGGUUCGACUCCCGCCACCUCCACCA
rnacentral:tmRNA from 1 species